AUCUCUCAACACAACAAGUUUAUUUCUUGCUGUGCUUGGAUGUUGAAGGCUGCCGGCGUCAUUGUCAGCUCCUUUUAAAURCAUUAGCGGAACUAUGUAGGACCAGCUUCGGUUUGAUAAUCCUUUAUCUAUGCUGUCGCUGAGAAACGUUUGUUCAGCUUCUAAUUGUCCCUUAGUGGACUGUCUCCUUGCUGAGGCAUAACCUUGAC
rnacentral:misc_RNA from 1 species